rnacentral:rRNA from 1 species
UACGGAGGAUGCAAGCGUUAUCCGGAAUGAUUGGGCGUAAAGCGUCCGCAGGCGGCAAUGUAAGUCUGCUGUCAAAGCGUCUGGCUCAACCAGAUAAAGGCAGUGGAAACUACAUAGCUAGAGUAAGGUAGGGGUAGAGGGAAUUCCUGGUGUAGCGGUGAAAUGCGUAGAGAUCGUGAGGAAGACCAGUGGCGAAGGCGGGUCUCUGGACAGUUCCUGACACUGAGGCACGAAGGCCAGGGGAGCAAACGGG